rnacentral:rRNA from 1 species
AGUGAACGCUGGCGGUAGGCCUAACACAUGCAAGUCGAACGGCAGCACAGUAAGAGCUUGCUCUUACGGGUGGCGAGUGGCGGACGGGUGAGGAAUACAUCGGAAUCUACUUUUUCGUGGGGGAUAACGUAGGGAAACUUACGCUAAUACCGCAUACGACCUACGGGUGAAAGCAGGGGAUCUUCGGACCUUGCGCGAUUCAAUGAGCCGAUGUCGGAUUAGCUAGUUGGCGGGGUAAAGGCCCACCAAGGCGACGAUCCGUAGCUGGUCUGAGAGGAUGAUCAGCCACACUGGAACUGAGACACGGUCCAGACUCCUACGGGAGGCAGCAGUGGGGAAUAUUGGGCAAUGGGCGCAAGCCUGAUCCAGCCAUACCGCGUGGGUGAAGAAGGCCUUCGGGUUGUAAAGCCCUUUUGUUGGGAAAGAAAAGCAGCAGGUUAAUACCCCGCUGUUCUGACGGUACCCAAAGAGUAAGCACCGGCUAACUUCGUG